rnacentral:rRNA from 1 species
GACGAACGCUGGCGGCGUGCUUAACACAUGCAAGUCGAACGGAAAGGCCUGCUUUCCCUUGUGGAUUGCGGGUACUCGAGUGGCGAACGGGUGAGUAACACGUGAGUGAUCUGCCCCCAACUUGGGUAUAAGCCUGGGAAACUGGGUCUAAUUCCCGAUAGGACUGCAGGGUGGUGCCUGUGGUGGAAAACGAUUUUCUAGUGGUUGGGGAUGAGCUCGCGGCCUAUCAGCUUGUUGGUGGGGUAAUGGCCUACCAAGGCGGCGACGGGUAGCCGGCCUGAGAGGGUGGACGGCCACAUUGGGACUGAGAUACGGCCCAGACUCCUACGGGAGGCAGCAGUGGGGAAUAUUGGACAAUGGGCGGAAGCCUGAUGCAGCGACGCCGCGUGGGGGAUGACGGCCUUCGGGUGGUAAACUCCUUUCGACCGCGAGGAAGCCACCUGGUUGGAAGGGUGGUGACGGUAGUGGUAGAAGAAGCACCGGCUAACUACGUG